rnacentral:rRNA from 1 species
AAUGAACGCUGGCGGCGUGGUUAAGACAUGCAAGUCGAACGGUUUUUAAUGAAGGGCAACCGGAUUUAAAAGCAGUGGCGAACGGGUGCGUAACACGUGAACAAUCUACCUCCAAGUGGGGAAUAGCUCGCCGAAAGGCGAAUUAAUACCGCAUGUGGUCGAGGCUCGCAUGAGUCUUGAACUAAAGUCAGGGACCGCAAGGCCUGACGCUAGGAGAGGAGUUCGCGGCCUACAGCUAGUUGGCGAGGUAACGGCUCACCAAGG